rnacentral:rRNA from 1 species
ACACCGGCGGCCCGAGUGGUGAUCGUGAUUAUUGGGUCUAAAGGGUCCGUAGCCGGUUUGGUCAGUCCGCCGGGAAAUCUGAUAGCUCAACUAUUAGGCUUUCGGGGGAUACUGCCAGACUUGGAACCGGGAGAGGUAAGAGGUACUACAGGGGUAGGAGUGAAAUCUUGUAAUCCCUGUGGGACCACCCGUGGCGAAGGCGUCUUACCAGAACGGGUUCGACGGUGAGGGACGAAAGCUGGGGGCACGAACCGGAUUAGAUACCCGGGUAGUCCCAGCCGUAAACGAUGCUCGCUAGGUGUCAGGCAUGGCGCGACCGUGUCUGGUGCCGCAGGGAAGCCGUGAAGCGAGCCACCUGGGAAGUACGGCCGCAAGGCUGAAACUUAAAGGAAUUGGCGGGG